ACCCGCCCACUUUAAAUGGCCGACAGACAGAAUUUAGCCACUAGCCGGUGAACACGGUGGAGCAUUUAGCAGCUAGCACCUAGCAGACCAAAACAGAGCUAAAAGAAGAGUGAAUAGGACUUACGUUACAUCUCAAUAACGGAAGGAAGCUGCAUGAAGCAUUUCGCCUCAGUCUCCCAAUACAAGUGAAAACAAACAUCUCCAAUGUAGCACAUCCUGGAUUCCUUGUAAGAAGAUCUCAUCCCCUCCCUUGACACUGCCACUGUUCCUGUUGACUCGACAGAUCCUCAGCUCUGCUGUGUUUGGGGCCCCUGGUGAUGCAGAAACAAGUUGUAAACAUGCAACCUAACAGACUGCAUUCUACAAGUGAGACAACAUUUUUAUUUCCAAGAGUGAUAAUGUCAGAAUCUGCCUUUACUUGAUCUAGUUGAUGUCCUGUUGUGAGAAACCAGCUUUAGUGGCCUCAGUGUAACUUGUUCAAUAUUCGCCUCAGUUUAGAAAAAAACCACAUUCAGUUUACAGUUAAAGCCUCAGCAGUCCCAUGUCACAUGCCUGGUGUCAGAAGAGGAAGUGCUCCAUGGUAACGCUGUUACUUGAGGGUUAGUGUGUAUAAAGAACUUCCCCUUUCUCAACUAGUUCCCUAAGCGCAACAUUUAAAACAGCAUUGAGAGAAUAUCUGCUGGACACACCUUCACAAGUCUUGCAACAAACACUAGCAUGCACAGACUGCACAGCUACAUACUGUAUCAUGUAUGUGCAACCACAGCGACAAUUCUUGCAUAGUAUUAUUGCGCCAUGUCAAUUAGUAGAAUUUUUAUACAAUUCUAGGUGAAUAUGUUACAUUCCAAUCUGUAAAAACUCUGAACCAAGUCUCUCUUAUGUGUUUUAAUUGGUAUCAUACAUUUGUAUCAUCCAGUAAAUUGUUACACUGUCUUCCUUUCUGAAGAUUUAUCUGUGCGAACCUACCUUGAACCAAUCCUCCUUGCCUCUGGCGCCUCUUUCUUAUCUAUCUACUCUCACAUCAUCUAAGUGAAUGGAGCCAUUGUUAGAAAAUGUAUAUAUC